GGCCGUGUGGCCCAAUGGCAAGGCGCUUGACUACGAUCACUAUGUAAUCAAGAGAUUCCAGGUUCGACCCCUGGCACGGUCA